ensembl:misc_RNA Metazoa_SRP Metazoan signal recognition particle RNA
GCCUGUAGUUCCAGCUACCCAGGAGGCUGAGGUGGGAGGAUUGCUUGAGCCCAGGAGUUCUGGGCUGUAGUGCACAAUGCCAAUCAAGUGUCCGCACUAAGUUCAGCAUCAAUAUGGUGACCUCCCGGGAGCAGGGGACCACCAGGUUGCCUAAGGAGGGGUGAACCGGCCCAGGUUGGAAACAGAGCAGGUCAAAACUCCUGUGCUCAUCAGUAGUGGGAUCACACCCGUGAAUAGCCACUGCACUCCAGCCUAGGCAACAUAGCAACACCCUGACUCUA